GACGAACCGUGCGAACGUUGUUCGGAAUCACUGGGCGUAAAGGGCGCGUAGGCGGCCAUUCAAGUCGGGGGUGAAAGCCUGUGGCUCAACCACAGAAUUGCCUUCGAUACUGUUUGGCUUGAGACCGGAAGAGGUUAGUGGAACUGCGAGUGUAGAGGUGAAAUUCGUAGAUAUUCGCAAGAACACCAGUGGCGAAGGCGGCUCACUGGCCCGUUACUGACGCUGAGGCACGAAAGCGUGGGGAGCAAACAGG
rnacentral:rRNA from 1 species